rnacentral:rRNA from 1 species
GACGAACGCUGGCGGCGUGCCUAACACAUGCAAGUCGAACGGGGUUGAGCCCUUCGGGACUCGACUUAGUGGCGAACGGGUGAGUAACGCGUGAGGAACCUGCCUCUCAGUGGGGGACAACAGUUGGAAACGACUGCUAAUACCGCAUAACAUAUCUGGACCGCAUGAUCCGGAUAUCAAAGCUUUAUGUGCUGAGAGAUGGCCUCGCGUCUGAUUAGCUAGUUGGUGGGGUAAACGGCCUACCAAGGCGACGAUCAGUAGCCGGUCUGAGAGGAUGAACGGCCACAUUGGGACUGAGAUACGGCCCAGACUCCUACGGGAGGCAGUCAGUGGGGAAUACUUGGGCAAUGGGGGAAACCCUGACCCAGCAACGCCGCGUGAAGGAAGAA